ACCAUAAGCUUACCCUCUCAAUCAUCCACUACCCCAAGGGAUCACACCGGCCAAGGCCUGAUUGGAGACGCCUGGGACCCUGCCGAGCUAGCCGGCCCCUCAACCCUGGCCGCAGCCACGACUCCGAGCGCUGCUCCUUCUUUUUCUGCACUUUCCUUUCUCCCCCACAAGCUUCUGAUUCUUGGAACCAGGCUUGGUGACCUCACGCGAGUGACUUCAUAUCCGGGACUUUCUGGGAAUUCUCAGCAGCACUUUUUCGUAAGAAACGUAACGCGGGGUGGGGGGGGGGGAGUGGGUGGGGAGGGGGUGGUGGGCGGAGCUUUUGAGGAAGAAGGGAGAGAACAGCUCAGGGCCCGCUUCCUCCUUCCGAUUAGGUCGGGUGGAGCUGGCAGGCGGGCGGGCCAGCUGCAGCCAGCGAAACCCGAGUACCGCCCCCUUGGCCUGCAGCAGGACACCCGCGCGCCUGCCUUCCGGGACGCAGGUGGGGGUUGGGGCGCGGACCUCAGUCCUCAUAGCGCCUGAUUUGGGACCAGGGAGUUGUUCCUGAGGGUUCCCAAGCAGAGCCUCUGCUAGAGUUUUCUUCGGAAGUUAGCUGGGCAUCUAACUAGGCAGCUCUGCCACAGGUUGCGGGGAGGGUCAGCAUAACCAAAACCAGAGCCCCAUUAUGAUUUUUGUGGACCCUAAGUACUUUUGCCUUAAUGGGCUCCUUUUCCAUAAAAAAAAAUUUUAAAGUAUAUUUUACGACUGUGGUGGUAUAAAGCCGAAUAGGUUAAUGUUAUAUAUUCAAACAAUGUCUUCGGCCUGAAAGUUUGUUUUUCCCUUCUGAUAGUAAAAUAAGUUAAAACAUUGUCAUGAGUUUCUAAAAGUAUUGAGGACCCUAGGCACUGUUGCCCCCUGUGCCGGAUGGGUGAGUUGGCCCUGGGUAAAGUCAGGGCGAUGUGACACAGCCUGGAAAGAACAUGAAAGGAUCUAGAAGAUAGAAUUCUCCCCUCCCGGAGGAGGCCAUAAACACAGUAACAGCUGCACAGGAAGGGCCUUGAAUGACCUAAGAAGCGUGGAUUUUAAGGUGACAGAGGUGGUGAGAAGCUGCUGCAAGGCUGGAUUGGAGGACUGAUGGUUUGGGGGUGGCACUGGUGGUGGGGAGAGAAAUGAGGAGGCUGUUGCUGCGGUACAGUUGGAUGUUGGAGCUCACAGAUCAACGUAGAAAUGAAGCAGGGGGCAAGGGGAAGAGGUACUUGGGAAGCCAAAGCCCACUGAUAUGAGGCGGUAAUGCAGGGAGAAGCCUGGGCUAUCUUCUCUGGCUUCGGUGAAUGGCAGAUGCUGCCAGCCCUCUUGGAAAACAGGAAGACAGGAGGAGAACCUGUAUGUGCUCCAGGACUUUGGGAAGAUCAAAUGGAAGGUCUUUCACAAAUAACAAAGCAAGGAGACUUCCAGUAACUUCACAGGCUUGUGGGCAGCUUCAGGGCCACCUCUUGCCCAGAUCCUGCGAUUGUUCUUAACAGGCAUUCUAACCCCACCCCUGCUGCCUGAGCUGCCUCCCCAAAGCUCCAUUCUUGUUGGGCCACUUUCCUGCUCCCUAUGGCCUGGAGGACAAAACCACCUCACUUGGACAUUUCCAGGAUAAAGAAUGAGGAAAAGCAGACUAAGUUUUUAAUACCCUUUCAGUAGAAAACUGUCCCAGAAACUCAUUGGCUACCUACUUCUUAAUUCCCAAUAACUGUUUUUAUGUGCACAUCUCCACCCCCAUAAUAGUCUUGACUCCCACCCUCAAAUAUGAACACUGGGCUUUCUCCAGAGCAGAUCAGGCCAAAAUCAAGGGCUGGGACAGGAAAUACACUUGCAGGGAGAAGAGCUGGGCUUGAAUGACCUCUUGAAAGAUAAUCCUUCAUGUAUUCACUCUAAAACAUGAAUUUAGCACUUACUAUGUGUUCUGGCACCAUUCUAGCACUGGGGAUGCAAUAAAAAUCAAAUGAGAUGUGGUUCUUCAUGGAAAUGCUACUUCAGUAGGGGGAAGACUGACUGUGGAGAUGUCACUUUCCAAAGACGUAUGCAUGUUCUAGAAUUUUGCCUCUCGCCUACCAAAAGGUGAUGUCUAAUACCCCCUUCCUUUCAAUCCGGGCAGACUUGUGACUCACUUGUAACCAACAGGAUGUACAGAUGUGAUUUUUCAUGACUUCUGAGACUAGGUCAUAAGAGGCGAUACAGCUUCUGCCUUGUUAGGUGGGACAUGUCUUUGGAGCCCUGAACUACAACUUAGGAAGUUCGACAACCCAGAGAUUGCCAUGUUGUGGGGAAGCCCAGGCCACAUGGAGAGGCCACAUGUGUGUGUUCUGGCUGACAUCCCUGCUGACCUCCCAAACAUUGUGGCACAGAAACAAGCCAUGCCAACUGUGCUCUGUCCCAAAUUCCUGUUUGGGGUGGUUUGCUAUGCAGAAAUAAUAUCUAGAACACUAAGAAACAAGGGAAUAAGUGAGCAAGAUAAUUUCAUAUUGUGAGAGGAAAAUAUGGGAAAACAUAAAGCAGCGUGAAAACAAGGGCCUCUUUAGGUGGGGGAAGCGGGGAGGACUGAUCAAGAAAGGUCUUUCUGGAGAGACAUUGGAACUGAGACCUGAGUGAGAAGGAGCUCAACCACUAACCAUCUGGGAGAAGAGACUUUCAGCCAGAGGGUUCAUUAAGUACAAAGGUCCGGAGGCAGGAAUCAGCUUGGUAUGUUCCAAGAAGGGCAAGAAAGACAGUGUGACUAGGGUGAUGUGGGUGAGGAGGAGAGUGGGGCCAACGAAGUUGGAGAGGAAGGCAGAGAGGCAAGUCAUUCUGGUCCUACAGGUCACUGAGAGGAGUUUGGAUUUAAGACUGAGUGAGCUGGGGAGCCGGUGGAGGGUAUUAUGCAGGAGUGCCUGGAUCUGGUAAACUCUUAUUAAUAAAAGUUCCUGCUGCCUGCUGGAGGACAGAGUGUAAGGACACACAGGGCAAAGGGAGGAGGAUCAUUGGGGAGGCUACGGCAGUGCCUCAUCCCCCAGGGAAGGGAGGAUGCACGAUGGCUUGAGACAUGGUGAUGGCGGUGAAGAUGGGGACUGGUGGACAAAUUCUGGACACAGAGGCAAUGACAGAGAGUACCAGCGAGGGAGGAGGCGCCCAGUCCUGCAGGUCCCGAGCAGGAUCUAGACAUGGGUGAGGACGGGAACCCGCUAUCCGUCUGGAGUCCGAAGGGAGCCUCAGCGAGAGGGCUGGCCAGGAUGGCGCGUCCUGGCGUCCGUCGUCUGCAGUGCAGAGCCAGUCCCUGGCUGCGCUCCUGCCGGACGUCUCCCAGCAACAGCCGCCGCCGCCCGAACGUUCUGAACUCGGCGGCCCCUUAGCUCUCAUCGUCGCCUCGGCGACGGCCGGUGGGAACACGCCCUGCGGGCUCCGGGGGCGGGGUCUUGGCGCCACGCGCUCCGCCUCCCGCGGGGUGCGCCUUCAGCCCCGCCCGCCCCCUCCCUUCCUCGGCGGCACGCGUGGCCGCAGGUGUGCAGGGCGCCCGGAGCGGCCUCGCCGAAAAGCCGCUUCUCUGUGCACGCCGCCGCCGGCGCGCACCACAGGCCCAGCCACCUCUCCCCACUCUUCCCCUCAGGCCGCCAUCUUCAACCAACUGGACUGAGUCUUCUGUCAUUCGGGUCACCUCCGCUGAGACGCCUUCCCUGACCACCCAAGUUGAAGGAACUGCCAACAUUUCCCUCUUGGACUUUGUGUUUUAUUUCCUUCACAGUAUUUCUCCCCUCUAAAAUUAUCUUGUCUGCUUCUACCUAUAUUGUCUUCCCUCUUGAAACCGAAGUUCCAUAAGCUGAGGCAGAAAUUCUGCCUUGUUCAUCUCUGUUGUCAGCACCCUGAACAGAGCCUGGCAUGAAUGAGGUGCUCAAUAAAAGUUACUUGGAUGAAUCGGCAGAUUUCCUCAAUCAUUUCAUUCAUUUAUGCAUUCAUUUAUUUGACAUUUAUGGAGUGCCUUCUAGGCACUUGUGGUAAAGAGGUACCAAGAUGAACGAGACAGGGAUACCCCUGGAGGUAAGAAAGAAGAGAUGUAUUUUUUUUUAAUUACGAUAAUACUAAAAGUGAAUGUCUUUGAGUUCCAGAUGCCAGGCAUAGCUUCAAGCUCUUUAUACUUUCUAGCGUUCCAUUAUUGGAAAGCUAAGCAUGUGGGAGUUAUUUGUCCGACAGCUCAAGGUCAUUGCCUAUAUAGGCUGCUGGGCCCUGUAAUCAAGUGAGAUCCCGCAGAAGGCAGGGGACCAACAAGAUUUGUGUACCAGGCCCAAGCAGGUGGAUUUGGUACCUUGAUUAUUCUCGACACAGCACAGUCUCCCACAGGGCACAGGCUCCUUCCAGAUCAGAGCUGUGUUGUCCCAGGAGAACCCUACGCAUAUUGGCUGAGCAGGCAACGAGGGGCCUGUGAGGGUUGUGGAGGGUUAGGCCCUGGGUUAGGGGUAGGAUAGGGCCUAUCUCUUCCAUUGAAGCAAAGUGUGAGUAACUUUCCACAUAAACUUGGUGUGAGGCAAACCUAGUUUCAAACGCCUGGAUAUCCAGGAAAUCCAGGAACUAAAUUUAUUCCACCUCGGGGUCUUUGCAAGUGCUCUUCCCUCCACCUAGCAUGCUUCCUCCCCCGAUUUGCACAUAGUUGCUCUUUGUCAUUUAGAUCUCAGCUGAGGUGUUUUUUCCUUAGAGAGCCCUGCCUUGGCCAUGCCACAGUCUAAGGCAAUCACCUGCCAUUGUCGCAUGACCAUAUUUUAAGACUUUUAUCCCAAAAUGGGAGAGUGGCCUAGUCAG
ensembl:lncRNA